GACAGAGGGUGCAAGCGUUGUUCGGAAUCAUUGGGCGUAAAGCGCGCGUAGGCGGCUAUGUAAGUCGAAUGUGAAAUCCUUGGGCUCAACCCGGGAAGUGCAUUCGAAACUGCAUAGCUUGAGUCCCGGAGAGGGUGGUGGAAUUCCCAGUGUAGAGGUGAAAUUCGUAGAUAUUGGGAGGAACACCAGAGGCGAAGGCGACCACCUGGACGGAGACUGACGCUGAGGCGCGAAAGCGUGGGGAGCAAACAGG
rnacentral:rRNA from 1 species